AGUGUUGUUGCCACAGAGUCACAUCAGUAUGUUGUUGGUGAUACCAUUACGAUGCAGCUGAUGAAGAGGGAGAAAGGGGUGUUGGUGGCUUUGCCCAAAUCCAAAUGGAUGAAUGUAGACCAUCCCAUUCAUCUAGGAGAUGAACAGCACAGCCAGUACUCCAAGUUGCUGCUGGCCUCUAAGGAGCAGGUGCUGCACCGGGUAGUUCUGGAGGAGAAAGUAGCACUAGAGCAGCAGCUGGCAGAGGAGAAGCACACUCCCGAGUCCUGCUUUAUUGAGGCAGCUAUCCAGGAGCUCAAGACUCGGGAAGAGGCUCUGUCGGGAUUGGCUGGAAGCAGAAGGGAGGUCACUGGUGUUGUGGCUGCUCUGGAACAACUGGUGCUGAUGGCUCCCUUGGCGAAGGAGUCUGUUUUUCAACCCAGGAAGUUUGCUGCAACAGGGUGUGCUGGAGUAUCUGUCUGCCUUCGAUGAAGAAACCACGGAAGUGUGUUCUCUGGACACUCCUUCUAGACCUCUUGCUCUCCCUCUGGUAGAAGAGGAGGAAGCAGUGUCUGAACCAGAGCCUGAGGGGUUGCCAGAGGCC
rnacentral:sRNA from 1 species